CGAGAAUAGAGCAGCAGGUUGGUAGUUCCUGCACACGUCAAUCGCGACGGGAUCUUCCCAGCCACGG
rnacentral:ncRNA from 1 species